UACGAGGGGGGCAAGCGUUGUUCGGAAUUAUUGGGCGUAAAGGGUGCGUAGGCGGUUUGGUAAGUCUUAUGUGAAAUCUACAGGCUCAACUUGUAGUCUGCAUGAGAAACUGCCGGGCUUGAGUAUGGGAGAGGAAAGCGGAAUUCCUGGUGUAGCGGUGAAAUGCGUAGAUAUCAGGAGGAACACCUGCGGUGUAGACGGCUUUCUGGACCAUUGUUGACGCUGAGACACGAAAGCGUGGGUAGCAAACAGG
rnacentral:rRNA from 1 species